GACGAACGCUGGCGGCGUGCCUAAUACAUGCAAGUAGAACGCUGAAGGCGGAGCUUGCUUCUCUGGUUGAGUUGCGAACGGGUGAGUAACGCGUAGGUAACCUGCCUGGUAGCGGGGGAUAACUAUUGGAAACGAUAGCUAAUACCGCAUAAGAGUAGCUGUUGCAUGACAUUUGCUUAAAAGGUGCAAUUGCAUCACUAGCAGAUGGACCUGCGUUGUAUUAGCUAGUUGGUGGGGGAGCGGCUUACCAAGGCGACGAUGGGUAGCCGGACGGGGAGGGUGACAGGACACAUGGGGACUGAGAUACGGCCCAGACUGCGACGGGGGGCAGGAGUGGGGAAUAUUGCGCAAUGGGCGGAAGCCUGAUGCAGCAACGCCGCGUGCGGGAUGACGGCCGUCGGGUUGGAAACCGCUUGCGCCUGUGACGAAGCGGGAGUGACGGUAAUGGGUAAAGAAGCACCGGCUAACUACGUG
rnacentral:rRNA from 1 species